CAGCGCCACAAGUGGCAAUCAUUUUUAUUUGGCCUAAAGCGUCCGUAGCUGGUUAAGUAAAUCUCUUGUGAAAUCGUUUCGCUUAACGAAACGGCGUGCAGGAGAGACUGCUUAGCUAGAGACCGGGAGGAGUCAGAGGUAUGCUGGGGGGAGUGGUAAAAUGCUAUAAUCCUCGGUAGACCACCUGUGGCGAAGGCGUCUGACUAGAACGGGUCUGACAGUGAGGGACGAAAGCCAGGGGAGCAAACCGGAUUAGAUACCCGCGUAGUCC
rnacentral:rRNA from 1 species